AGAGUUUGAUCAUGGCUCAGGAUGAACGCUGGCGGUCUGCUUAACACAUGCAAGUCGAACGGGUGUAGAAAUACAUUAGUGGCGGACGGGUGAGUAACGCGUGAGAAUCUGGCUUUGGGUUCGGGACAACCACUGGAAACGGUGGCUAAUACCGGAUGUGCCUUAAUGGUAAAAGGUUUACCGCCUGAAGAUGAGCUCGCGUCUGAUUAGCUAGUUGGUGUGGUAAGAGCGCACCAAGGCGACGAUCAGUAGCUGGUCUGAGAGGAUGAUCAGCCACACUGGGUCUGAGACACGGCCCAGACUCCUACGGGAGGCAGCAGUGGGGAAUUUUCCGCAAUGGGCGAAAGCCUGACGGAGCAAGACCGCGUGAGGGAGGAAGGCUCUUGGGUUGUAAACCUCUUUUGUCAGGGAAGAACACAAUGACGGUACCUGAAGAAUCAGCAUCGGCUAACUCCGUGCCAGCAGCCGCGGUAAUACGGGGGAUGCAAGCGUUAUCCGGAAUUAUUGGGCGUAAAGCGUCCGCAGGUGGCUAAUCAAGUCUGCUGUCAAAGGUUGGGGCUUAACCCCAAAAAGGCAGUGGAAACUGAGAAGCUAGAGUGCAGUAGGGGUAGAGGGAAUUCCCGGUGUAGCGGUGAAAUGCGUAGAGAUCGGGAAGAACAUCGGUGGCGAAAGCGCUCUACUGGACUGCAACUGACACUCAGGGACGAAAGCUAGGGGAGCGAAUGGGAUUAGAUACCCCCGUAGUCC
rnacentral:rRNA from 1 species